rnacentral:rRNA from 1 species
UACAGAGGGGGCAAGCGUUAUUCGGAAUUAUUGGGCGUAAAGGGCGCGUAGGCGGCAUCGCAAGUGGAAGGUGAAAUCCCUCGGCUUAACCGAGGAACUGCCCUCCAAACUGCGUUGCUUGAGGCCGGGAGAGGUGAGUGGAAUUCCCAGUGUAGCGGUGAAAUGCGUAGAUAUUCGCAAGAACACCAGUGGCGAAGGCGGCUCACUGGCCCGGAACUGGACGCUGAGG